rnacentral:rRNA from 1 species
AAGUCCCGCAACGAGCGCAACCCUUGUCUUAUGUUGCCAGCACGUGAUGGUGGGGACUCGUAAGAGACUGCCGGGGUCAACGUCGGAGGAAGGGUGGGGACGACGUCAAGUCAUCAUGCCCCUUAUGUCCAGGGCUUCACACAUGCUACAAUGGCCAGUACAGAGGGCUGCGAGACCGUGAGGUGGAGCGAAUCCCUUAAAGCUGGUCUCAGUUCGGAUCGGGGUCUGCAACUCGACCCCGUGAAGUCGGAGUCGCUAGUAAUCGCAGAUCAGCAACGCUGCGGUGAAUACGUUCCCGGGCCUU